AGAGUUUGAUCAUGGCUCAGGACGAACGCUGGCGGCGUGCUUAACACAUGCAAGUCGAACGGACGACCCGGAUAGAAUCCUUCGGGAGGAAGUGCGGGAAGUUAGUGGCGGACGGGUGAGUAACGCGUGGGUAACCUGGCCCUUAAAUGGGGACAACAGUUGGAAACGACUGCUAAUACCGAAUGUGAUCAUGUUGACGCAUGUUGAGAUGAUGAAAGGUGGCUGAGCUUGAUGCUACCGUUAAGGGAUGGACCCG
rnacentral:rRNA from 1 species